ACACAUAAAGGACAAUAGUUUGACCUAUGACAGAUACGGAUUUCAACAAAAAAAAAUCCUAUUUCAGUGGACUGCUGCUUCCAUAAGGUAGUUAAGCCCAGCAUUCAUUCACUAAACAGCUAAGGGCAGAUGUACACAGCACCCAGCUGUGCCACGUUGCGGCUGCACUCCAGCUCCGUUGUGCUUUCAAUGUCCACUGGAAACGUUUCAGAAGCGCACUGUCUGUUCUUUAUCAGCCACAUUUAUAAUGGUUUAGAGUCGUUUUGCCGACAAUAUUUUACAAGCAUAAAUACAUGUCUGGAGCUCAUUAGAUGUGGUAACAGAUGCUUUCUACUUGAAUAUAUACUAUUUCAUCACUCAUUUUAAAUGUUAAUAUAGCCGAUCUCAAAGCACAGCUUUUGCCAUUAAUUUGUAUUUGUUUAUUUUGAAUGAUGUCAUGAUCGUAAAAAAAUAAUGAUGUUAUCUGCAGCUCAGCUGCUUGGUAGUGACUGCUGGUCACAAUAAAAUUGUGUUAAUGAGAACAACUAUGGUGAACUCGGCUGCAUUAAAACUUAUAGGUGAUCACAAGGAGCAGGAGCAAAUUCCUUGGUAUCUUUGUAAAACCCAGAAGGUCAUUUAACAGCACUCACAGCUGUUUCAAGUUAUUUCCUAAAUCCUCACAGACUCAUCUGAUUAAAACAUAUUAUGUCUGCUGCACCAUUGAAAACAUUUUUUAACAAGUUACGUCUCCAUUUCCUAAUCCAAGUUGCUGGAAAUCUCCUUGCUAGUUUUGAAAGAAGUAUAAAAAUGCAUUAUUUUGUAUGAAAAUAGAAAACAAUGGAAAGUAACGUAAAUACAGACAAAUACAGCUGAUAACUAAACUCUUAAAUUUGGGUUUGCAUUGUACAAAUUGAUCAAUGAGGGACAUGUGUCAUUCCUGGCUACCAUCUUUGCUUGGAUUAGAAAACAGAGUUGCACCUUGGGAAGCUGGUUAAAAUACUUUUUUCUAGUGCAGCAUACAGACCUGUUUAAAUCCAGGUGGUUAGAACAGUCAUUGGGGAUUUUGGAAAUACUUUCCAAAACAGAGUCAAGAGUUGUUUUAACCAGUCCUCUGGGUUUUUCCAAAGGUCACCAGGGAUUUCUUUUCUCUCUUACUUUUAGAACAGAUGCUUAACUCUGUGACUCUAAUAUGAUGAUAGUAAAUGAGAGGCACAAACUGGGGCUACAGCUGGUGAAAUGCUUGGUGCAUAAUUUAGAGAUGUAACACAUUUCAACUUAAUCAAAGAGUAAAUUCAGCCACCAGCACACAACGACGGUGUCCUUGGGGGAAAAAAAACAAACUGUGACAGUGGAAAAGCAGCAGAAGAUCUGUGAUGGGAGGAGCAGAUAGAUACGAGAUGAGUGGAAGAAGUGUGUGUUUGUGUUGCAGUUUCUAAAGCAAGGUGCACUGCAGACAAGUGUUGGCUUCAAUACAAGGCCAGCGUCCAUAAAGCAUGACCUUUCCAUCCUCCACGUCUCCAUGCAGCGCCACUAACAGUCAAACUGUUCAAUGGAUCCAGUGUGGGAGAGACCUGACACAACAUAGCGUCCAAUGGCAGGAAGAUAGAAGUUGAUGUCACUGGUCGCAAUCCAACUGAGUGAAUUAGUUUGUUUCGAUUACUGUAAUAAACUUGAACUAUUCCUCAUUGCUGAGAAGUUAGUUUCCUCACAUAAAACAUAGAUAUACAUCAAAACCUCAACUCCAACAAUCAAUAGAUGUAGUAGGACCUUUUAGAGUAUAAGGUUUUCAGAAGUGAGUUUCAGCAAGCAAAGUGAGGACACAAAGUAGUUCUCCCGGGAGGUCUGGUGAUAUUACAACUUGAUUACAAACUGGAUAACUUUUCACUAAAUCAUCCAGUAUAACAUAAUAUUUUACAAUUACUUUCACGCAUUUUACUGCAUUAUAUCUGUUUUAUUUUGCAAGUUACACCCUACGCAACACUGACAUUAUCAAGAAGGGAGAACAUAUAAAAAAGAUGCAAGUGCUCCAAAUUAUGCAAAUUGUAUGGUGUGUUUGAACUUUGUAUAAUCAAAUGUAAUUUUAGUGUAAAUAGUAAGUUUACAGUGAACGCAUUGUUUUAAAUACUUGACCAGUCUUUGGCAAAACUGUCACUUGAGAUUUGAGGUCUUGUUUUAGCUGGAUGUUGCCUCGUUUGUGUCAGGGGAAUUUCUCUUUCAAAAUGUCUGAAUUCGAUGCACACUGUGGACAUUAAUUUAAUAAAGUCACUUUUUUAUCACUUUGA